rnacentral:rRNA from 1 species
GAGCUUGCUCCUUUGACGUUAGCGGCGGACGGGUGAGUAACACGUAGGUAACCUACCUAUAAGACUGGGAUAACUUCGGGAAACCGGAGCUAAUACCGGAUAAUAUUUCGAACCGCAUGGUUCGAUAGUGAAAGAUGGCUUUGCUAUCACUUAUAGAUGGACCUGCGCCGUAUUAGCUAGUUGGUAAGGUAACGGCUUACCAAGGCAACGAUACGUAGCCGACCUGAGAGGGUGAUCGGCCACACUGGAACUGAGACACGGUCCAGACUCCUACGGGAGGCAGCAGUAGGGAAUCUUCCGCAAUGGGCGAAAGCCUGACGGAGCAACGCCGCGUGAGUGAUGAAGGUCUUCGGAUCGUAAAACUCUGUUAUUAGGGAAGAACAAACGUGUAAGUAACUGUGCACGUCUUGACGGUACCUAAUCAGAAAGCCACGGCUAACUACGUGCCAGCAGCCGCGGUAAUACGUAGGUGGCAAGCGUUAUCCGGAAUUAUUGGGCGUAAAGCGCGCGUAGGCGGUUUUUUAAGUCUGAUGUGAAAGCCCACGGCUCAACCGUGGAGGGUCAUUGGAAACUGGAAAACUUGAGUGCAGAAGAGGAAAGUGGAAUUCCAUGUGUAGCGGUGAAAUGCGCAGAGAUAUGGAGGAACACCAGUGGCGAAGGCGACUUUCUGGUCUGUAACUGACGCUGAUGUGCGAAAGCGUGGGGAUCAAACAGGAUUAGAUACCCUGGUAGUCCACGCCGUAAACGAUGAGUGCUAAGUGUUAGGGGGUUUCCGCCCCUUAGUGCUGCAGCUAACGCAUUAAGCACUCCGCCUGGGGAGUACGACCGCAAGGUUGGAAACUC